rnacentral:rRNA from 1 species
CAACCUGCCCACCACUUGGGGAUAACCUUGCGAAAGUAAGACUAAUACCCAAUGACGUCUCUAGAAGACAUCUGAAAGAGAUUAAAGAUUUAUCGGUGAUGGAUGGGGAUGCGUCUGAUUAGCUUGUUGGCGGGGUAACGGCCCACCAAGGCAACGAUCAGUAGGGGUUCUGAGAGGAAGGUCCCCCACAUUGGAACUGAGACACGGUCCAAACUCCUACGGGAGGCAGCAGUGAGGAAUAUUGGUCAAUGGACGAGAGUCUGAACCAGCCAAGUAGCGUGCAGGAUGACGGCCCUAUGGGUUGUAAACUGCUUUUAUAAGGGAAUAAAGUGAGUCUCGUGAGGCUUUUUGCAUGUACCUUAUGAAUAAGGACCGGCUAAUUCCGUGCCAGCAGCCGCGGUAAUACGGAAGGUCCGGGCGUUAUCCGGAUUUAUUGGGUUUAAAGGGAGCGUAGGCCGGAGAUUAAGCGUGUUGUGAAAUGUAGACGCUCAACGUCUGCGCUGCAGCGCGAACUGGUUUCCUUGAGUGCGCACAAAGUGGGCGGAAUUCGUGGUGUAGCGGUGAAAUGCUUAGAUAUCACGAAGAACUCCGAUUG